CUUACCUAAACGUUGCUUCGGCGGGAACAGACGGCCCCGUGAAACGGGCCGCCCCCGCCAGAGGACCCCUAACUCUGUUUCUAUAAUGUUUCUUCUGAGUAAAACAAGCAAAUAAAUUAAAACUUUCAACAACGGAUCUCUUGGCUCUGGCAUCGAUGAAGAACGCAGCGAAAUGCGAUAAGUAAUGUGAAUUGCAGAAUUCAGUGAAUCAUCGAAUCUUUGAACGCACAUUGCGCCCGCCAGUAUUCUGGCGGGCAUGCCUGUUCGAGCGUCAUUACAACCCUCAGGCCCCCGGGCCUGGCGUUGGGGAUCGGCGGAGCCCCCCGUGGGCACACGCCGUCCCCCAAAUGCAGUGGCGGUCCCGCCGCAGCUUCCAUCGCGUAGUAGCUAACACCUCGCGACUGGAGAGCGGCGCGGCCACGCCGUAAAACACCCAACUCUUCUGAAGUUGACCUCGAAUCAGGUAG
rnacentral:rRNA from 1 species